rnacentral:rRNA from 1 species
GGCGUGGAUAAGACAUGCAAGUCGAACGCGAUUUAUCGAGUUAGCAAUAACUUGGUAAAUUGAGUGGCGAAAGGGUGCGUAACACGUGGGAAAUUACCAAGAAGUGGGGAAUAGCUUGGCGAAAGCCAAAUUAAUACCGCAUAUGAUCGCAAGAUCAAAGUCGGGGACCGCAAGGCCUGCCGCUUUUUGAGAUGCCCGCGGCCCAUCAGCUAGUUGGUGAGGUAAAAGCUCACCAAGGCUAUGACGGGUAGCUGGUCUGAGAGGACGACCAGCCACACUGGAAGUGAGCCACGGUCCAGACACCUACGGGUGGCAGCAGUCGAGAAUUUUUCACAAUGGACGAAAGUCUGAUGGAAAGGCGCCGCGUGGAGGAUGAAGGUUUUCGGAUUGUAUAUAUGGGGUCACUGCAGAACAAGGUAAUGCCAGUUAAC